rnacentral:rRNA from 1 species
UACGAAGGGGGCUAGCGUUGUUCGGAAUUACUGGGCGUAAAGCGCACGCAGGCGGCUCGAUAAAUUAGCAGUGAAAGCCCCGGGCUUAACCUGGGAAUUGCUUUUAAGACUGUCGGGCUAGAAUCCAGAAGAGGGUAGUGGAAUUCCGAGUGUAGAGGUGAAAUUCGUAGAUAUUCGGAAGAACACCAGUGGCGAAGGCGACUACCUGGUCUGGCAUUGACGCCCAUGUGCGAAAGCGUGGGGAGCAAACAGG